UACGUAGGGUGCAAGCGUUAAUCGGAAUUACUGGGCGUAAAGCGUGCGCAGGCGGUUUUGUAAGUCUGACGUGAAAUCCCCGGGCUUAACCUGGGAAUUGCGUUGGAGACUGCAAGGCUGGAGUCUGGCAGAGGGGGGUAGAAUUCCACGUGUAGCAGUGAAAUGCGUAGAGAUGUGGAGGAACACCGAUGGCGAAGGCAGCCCCCUGGACGACACCUGACGCUGAGGCACGAAAGCUGGGGGAGCGAACAGG
rnacentral:rRNA from 1 species